AUCCUGGGAAUUGUAGUUUUCAAGCGAGCAGCAUGCACGAGCCUGGGAAGACCAGAAGCUCUUCUUGGUGUUCUGUUUACCCAAUUAUGAGAGUUCUGAUGAUAAACUUAAAUACAAGAUACAGAAAUCUUCAUAUGUAAUCUGUUAGAGAAAAAAUAAUCCAUACCUUGACAUGCUUUUAAGACUCAUAAAGAGACUAUUGAUGGCUCAGCAGUUAAAGUAUUCACUGUAGAUGAGCACAAAGACUGAACAGAGCUGUUCAUGGUCAUUACUGAAGGCUUCUGUGCUCAGUUAACUUCGGAUCGUCUCCCCUCAAACCUGAGCCAAUGGAUCGCUCCUCCCUUACCAGGCUUCUUGUCAGCACUGCCUUUCCUGAUGCGGCCCAAACAUCCCAAACAUCCCUGCAGCACCGCUCCUGUUACAGCCUCUUCUCAGAUAAGAGAAGAGUGAAUGAUGAAGCGCACUCGUCAGUGAGUCGUCAGUGUCCUUGAGGACAGGCCAAUGAGUGAGGAGCAUUCUGUCACCCAGGCCAACUGUGCAAGCGAUGUCAUCCAGGCCAACUGUGCAAGCGAUGUCUCCCAGGCUAACCAGCAAGUGAUGUCACCCAGACCAACUGUGCAAGAGAUGUCUCCCAGGCCAACUGUGCAAGCGAUGUCAUCCAGGCCAACUGUGCAAGCAAUGUCUCCCAGGCUAACCAGCAAGUGAUGUCACCCAGACCAACUGUGCAAGAGAUGUCUCCCAGGCCAACUGUGCAAGUGAUGUCACCCAGGCCAACUGUGCAAGCGAUGUCACCCAGGCCAACUGUGCAAGCGAUGUCAUCCAGGCCAACUGUGCAAGCGAUGUCACCCAGGCCAACUGUGCAAGUGAUGUCACCCAGGCCAAAUGUGCAAGCGAUGUCACCCAGGCCAACUGUGCAAGCGAUGUCACACAGGUCAACUGUGCAAGCGAUGUCACCCAGGCCAACUGUGCAAGUGAUGUCAGGGACAGGGAAGCUUCAAGGGAUGUGUCUCUUCUGAAGCAACAGUUUGAUUUCUGUCUUCUACUCUAUGAAGGCUUGACAAGGUUGCUCUACAAAAAUUACUGGAUUCUGAGCUGAUGGUUCAGGCCCAAGGAUGUCAGCAGAGACUUUUGCAAUGGGGCAGGACAGGUUUCACGUCAGGCUUUCAAGCUAAGGACAGGCAGCCACCUCCUAAAGAACUGCUUCGGUUGUUCAGUGAGGGUUACAUUGUGUUUGAGAACUCACCCCUCUUCUCUCUGUUGGGGGAGGAUCAUUGCUCACAGACAUCCCAUCCCCCAGCAGCUGCCAGCUCACCAUCCUCAUGGAGGACACAGGUGGGUGUGCACACACUGUAAGAGAAGCUUGCCAGCUAACACAAACUAAUUUUGACUCUGAAAUAAGCAGCAGGAUCCUUCCCUGAAUGGAGUUUAUGUCAGCAAUCAUCAAAUAUAUUUGGCACCCCUAGUUGCAUAUCAAUAAACACAUGGGGUGGUAGCCCUGAACACUGAUGGAGCACAUUACUUCAGCCAGUCAGAGCUGUGGUAUCUUCUAGCAGCAGUUCUGGCAGGAAACACCGCAUCUCUAGAAAACAACCCCAACUCCGAGCAGUGGCAAUGUGGCAGCUCCCCCACAGCUCAACGCAAGCUUUCCUUCCAUCAUUUCCUGUUUGUGUGCUCACCUUCCCAUGGGUCUUGGUCCUGAGAGCCCUUCCUGUUAAGGUUUGGAUGUGGGUUGAGUAUGUCCCAGAGCCUGUGUGGUAGAAGCCUGGUUCUCAACAUGACAGUGUUGGAAGGUGGAACCUGCCACACCAGCCAAAGCAGCCAUUUUUUUUUCUUGGUGAGUGACUUGGGAGGCUUGGUCACUCCACCAGGGACAACCUACACUAGACAACUAGGUCAUUUUGUCCAGUUCCCACUUCUGAUGCUACAAUUUCUGAUCCACACUGGAAGAUGCCUGGAAGAAUCUCUAACACCAUUGCCCCCUUUGCCUAAGUCCUAUAAGUGGGUGCUAUCCUUUUAACAGGAUUAGUUAAGUGCAGACUGCAGAGGGCUGGACAGGGAGGUCGCUAAAGAGAAGAAGCCCGCAAAGCUGAGCUCUAAAGUGAGACUUAUCAAGGGGCAACAGGCUGGAGUGCCCCCUGGUGGAAACAAGACAUGAAGAGCCAGAGGAUGGGAGGAGGUGGGGCAGGUAAGCAGAGGCGUGUGGAGAAAGCCCUGCCUGUGUCUAGAACUGAAACAUUGUAUGCAGAUGUCCGAGGACAAGCUCACCCUCCCUGGAAGCCAUGAUGGCAGCCAUAUACUUUGUGCUACUGGGGCAUGGUCAUUUCUUCCAUAAGGGAGAGUAAACUGGAGGAGUACAGCAAGGGUGAAGGAAACAAGGUUGAACAGAUUAUGAAUUGAUGGGUCAGAAAACACAGGGAUGAGAAUAAAUGCAGAGAAGGCACUGGGGGAGUAUUGAGAGGGGUUGAGGUCCUUAGCUGCAAGAGGCAAGAGAUGAAAUCCAGAUAUCAUUGCAGAAAACAAAGGGGCAGUUGCCAAAAGAAUGCGGGACCACUAGAUAUCAGUAGUCUCAGAGAUGUGUGAUGUCCCAGCCCACUCUAUGGCUAGAACUAUGGAUGCUGAUUGCACCUGCUGGUUACUGCCUGCUUCCCUCUGCUGGCACAUCGUGGAACUGCACCUUGGCACCAGGUUCUUUCCUCCAAACUGGCUGAGUCUGAUUAUCCAACCUAACACCGAGUCGAAGUUUGCAAGCACACUGCAUCUUCCAACUCAAGGACCCGAGGCCCAGGAAGGAGAGGGAAUCACUAUGUGUCUUAAAUCACGUUAGUGGAUUUGAGAGUCCUGUUCCACCCACAGCCAUAGGUGGCCUAGUGUGCCCGGGAAGCCUCUGAGAGCGCACCCUUGUGUUCAACUGCGGCAUUGCAGAAACUUGUCCCUGACUCUGCGUUGCAACUGUUCACCCUCCCAAACGGGACAAAUUCCAAAGACUCUGAGCUCAGAAAGAACAGGGAACUGUCUGCAACUGGACAUAAUCAUACUAAGCAAAUUGAUUCAGUAUCAGAAAGACAAAUGUGACAUGUUCUCUGUGGGUCCUAAAGGUUAUAUAGAUACAUAAAUUCAUAUAAACAGAUGACAUGGAAGGAGAAACAGAGCUAUCUAGGCCUGGGGGGACCAAAAGGUGGGAUGUGCUCAAAGUACACUCAUGCUUUCAUGAAGAUGGCAAUAAAAAUAAGUAAACACAA
rnacentral:lncRNA from 1 species